rnacentral:rRNA from 1 species
GAUGAACGCUGGCGGCGUGCCUAAUACAUGCAAGUCGAGCGAACAGACGAGGAGCUUGCUCCUUUGACGUUAGCGGCGGACGGGUGAGUAACACGUGGAUAACCUACCUAUAAGACUGGGAUAACUUCGGGAAACCGGAGCUAAUACCGGAUAACAUGUUGAACCGCAUGGUUCAACAGUGAAAGACGGUCUUGCUGUCACUUAUAGAUGGAUCCGUGCCGCAUUAGCUAGUUGGUAAGGUAACGGCUUACCAAGGCAACGAUGCGUAGCCGACCUGAGAGGGUGAUCGGCCACACUGGAACUGAGACACGGUCCAGACUCCUACGGGAGGAAGCAGUAGGGAAUCUUCCGCAAUGGGCGAAAGCCUGACGGAGCAACGCCGCGUGAGUGAAGAAGGUCUUCGGAUCGUAAAACUCUGUUAUUAGGGAAGAACAAAUGUGUAAGUAACUAUGCACGUCUUGACGGUACCUAAUCAGAAAGCCACGGCUAACUACGCG